GUCAGGAUGGCCGAGCGGUCUAAGGCGCUGCGUUCAGGUCGCAGUCUCCUCUGGAGGUGUGGGUCAAAUCCCACUUCUGACA
rfam:Danio rerio chromosome 4, GRCz11 reference primary assembly.